CAUAGAAAUAGUAAACAACUCCAUUCUACAUAAAGAAAUACAAGAAUAUCCCAUGAGGAGAGAGCACUUGAUUGGCAUAACAUGCAGCCUGGUCUUUAUGUCUGCAGACUCCCCUCUAUCACCAUUGAUUUUAGCAAACCUGAGUAUGACACUCCACAUAAGUAGGCAUCAUAUCCAGAUAAUACAAAACCUGCAUAACCAAAUCUCACCACACAAUGAAUUCCUAAGUCACUCAACCCACAAAUGUGCCUCACACCCAUCAAGAAAAGCAGGUACUUGGGGAAUCUACACACAACUUUGGUCUCACUACACUCAACCCACUUUUACGAACCAUAUAACACUCAAACUAACAAUGCUCCAUCUUGGACCUGCAAUAGAAGAUACACAUAGACAGGAAAAAGAAAAAAUUAGUAUAAACCUGCAGAUAUAUGGUCUCACACCACUCAACCCACAUUUUAGUAAUCCUCACAAUCCUCAAAUCCAACUGCACCUGCAAAAUAACACACAAAAUUAACGUAAUUUCACUCCAUAUAUGCUCUCAACACUCAACCCACAGUGUAUGAAUCUCACAGCUCACUCUUUCAACAACAGGCACACUCAACCCAUACGUUUGUUCUUCAUUUGCUUGUGUUUUGUACCCCUUUUUCUCUAUGUUCUGUUGCUAUUUGUAAUUCCAUUCACUUUUGUGUUUUCAUGUUGGUCACUGAUGUGCUGCGAAUCCGGACAACAAGAGCACUACGCAGGCAAUUCGAUUCCAGCUGCUGCAAGCUCCCCCAUCUAUCAUUAACUUUUCUGAUGACUUGAAAUAUGUGAUAACAUUACUUUCAUGGGGACUUGCAAUACCUUCUAACUCAAAUGGCAGAAGCAUUUGACUUGCCCAACAAAGACAAGAGAAGCAUUGAAAAUCUGCAGUUACAGCUUGCUCCUAGACGGGUUUGGAUGGCUUCUUCCAUACAUAGGGUUGUAUAACAAGGAUAAUUCAAUUAGAGGAGGCUCUGCUAGAACAAAUAUUGGGUACCAUUGAAUAUUGUUAGUCAUUGAUCUAACAUUGAUGUUUGUGUACUUGCUUGAUCCAAUUAAUUCUAAAAUAAACACAACCCUUGAAAUUGCAAUAAACACGUAAGUUUGGCUGGUUCAUACAUUUUUCAGCAAUUUGAGCUACCCUAAAAAUAUUUUGACUUCAGAAAUUUCUCUUGUAAAGUGCUUUGAAAAUUUAUGAAACUACCCAAAAGAGGAGGAGGACCAAUCCAUUUUGGAAAGUAGUUCAGGUAAUUAAUAUCAUUUUCUCUAAUUUUAUCAUACUUAUAUUUAUGCUAAUGCUUGUUUAGCUUGAUCAUAAUACUUUAUAUGUAGUUUCUAAUAAUAAUGAAAAUGCUUUCAUGUGGUCCCCGCAAAAACCCACAAACGUGGAAUGUGAGUUUUAUGUAAUGAGGUAUAUAAAAGACCUCAUUAGAGAUCAAGGCAUCCUAAGAAAACAAAAUUUUAAUGGAAAAAAAGACUUGCACAGAAACCGAACUUGAUGAAGUGAGAGUUGAAUGGAUUAAUUUCGUCCUAAAGAAUAUAAGUUGAAAUCCAACAUGAGAUGAAGAGUCAGUGUGAUGAGAAAAGGUCAGAAAUUUCUGAGAGAGAUGCAAAAUAUGGUCAAAGAAUUCAAGAACUUAGUUUUUC